rnacentral:rRNA from 1 species
GGUUCUAUGGGAGAAGUUGAAUGUAGGAUCUGGCCUGCCCAAUGAUUUAUUUAAUGGCCGCGGUAUUUUGACCGUGCAAAGGUAGCAUAAUCAUUAGUCUCUUAAUUGGGGUCUGGUAUGAAGGGUUGGACAAGGAAGGUGCUGUCUUAGGGUAAUAAGUUUGAAUUUUACUUUUAAGUGAAAAGGCUUAAAUUAGUUUGGGGGACGAUAAGACCCUGUAGAGCUUUAUUUUGAGGUGUUAAGAUGAUAAUUAAUACUAAGAAAUUUUGUUGGGGUGACAGGGAGAUAUGAGUAACUCUCUUUUAAUAGUUUUACUAGUUGGUAUAAUUAAGGAUCCAUUAAGAUUGGUGAUAAUAAGAUUAAGUUACCUUAGGGAUAACAGCGUAAUCUUUCUUGAGAGUUCAUAUUAACAGGAGGGGUUGCGACCUCGAUGUUGGAUUAAAGGAUUUUAGUGGUGAAGAGGCUACUAAGGAAGGUCUGUUCGACCUUUAAAUCUUUACA